UAAUGAUCUAAUACACAUUGCAAUUUUAAGCCUGAAAAGAAUAUUUGGUCUUCAAUCUUGGCAAGCAUACCUGUAAAGUAGAUGGUAAGGCUGCUGAUGAGUAAUCAAGUCAUAGCUGGAAUGUGACUGCCUGGCUGAUCUUCCAAGGUCCCCUUGCAUCUAUGUGUGGCCUUAUGAAUCAAUCCUUGCCAAUGGAAAGUGAAUGGAAGUGAUGUGUGUCAGUCCCAGGACUGACCAUAGACCUCCUGCAUGUGCUCCUUUAUGCUAUUUCUUCAGUUCAGGGUGGGAAUGGGAAUGCCCAGAGCAACUUUGGAAGCUAUAUGCUGAGGAUGCUAGAACUGCCAUCAGCCUGGGACCCUGAACAACUGUAUGAAACCAGGUACCUGUGGGUGGGAAAAAAACUGGCUGGAACUAUUAGAUGAAAGAAAAA
rnacentral:lncRNA from 1 species